rnacentral:rRNA from 1 species
AUUGAACGCUGGCGGCAGGCCUAACACAUGCAAGUCGAACGAGUGGCGGACGGGUGAGUAAUUUCUGGGAACCUGCCUGAUGGAGGGGGAUAACUCCUGAAAACGGUGGCUAAUCCCCCAUACCAUCAUAUUUGCCAAGAUGGGAUUAGCUAGUUGGUGGGGUAACGGCUCACCAAGGCGACGAUCCCUAGCUGGUCUGAGAGGAUGACCAGCCACACUGGAACUGAGACACGGUCCAGACUCCUACGGGAGGCAGCAGUGGGGAAUAUUGCACAAUGGGCGCAAGCCUGAUGCAGCCAUGCCGCGUGUAUGAAGAAGGCCUUCGGGUUGUAAAGUACUUUCAGCGGGGAGGCGUUACCCGCAGAAGAAGCACCGGCUAACUCCGUGCCAGCAGCCGCGGUAAUUC